rnacentral:rRNA from 1 species
NNAAAACGACUCUCGGCAACGGAUAUCUCGGCUCUCGCAUCGAUGAAGAACGUAGCGAAAUGCGAUACUUGGUGUCAAUUGCAGAAUCCCGUGAACCAUCGAGUCUUUGAACGCAAGUUGCGCCCGAAGCCAUCAGGCCGAGGGCACGUCUGCCUGGGCGUCACGCAU